rnacentral:rRNA from 1 species
UACGAAGGGGGCUAGCGUUGCUCGGAAUUACUGGGCGUAAAGGGCGCGUAGGCGGAUACUUAAGUUAGAGGUGAAAGCCCCAGGGCUCAACCCUGGAACAGCCCUUUAAUACUGGGUAUCUUGAGUUCGGGAGAGGUGAGUGGAACUCCGAGUGUAGAGGUGAAAUUCGUAGAUAUUCGGAAGAACACCAGUGGCGAAGGCGACUCACUGGCCCGAUACUGACGCUGAGGCGCGAAAGCGUGGGGAGCAAACAGGG